rnacentral:rRNA from 1 species
CAGUCGCCGCGGUAAUACGUAGGGUGCGAGCGUUAAUCGGAAUUACUGGGCGUAAAGCGUGCGCAGGCGGUUCGUUAAGACAGAUGUGAAAUCCCCGGGCUUAACCUGGGAACUGCAUUUGUGACUGGCGAGCUAGAGUAUGGCAGAGGGGGGUAGAAUUCCACGUGUAGCAGUGAAAUGCGUAGAGAUGUGGAGAAAUACCGAUGGCGAAGGCAGCCCCCUGGGCCAAUACUGACGCUCAUGCACGAAAGCGUGGGGAGCAAACAGGAUUAGAUACCCCCGUAGUCCCUGUCUCUUAUAC